AUACGUAGGUGGCGAGCGUUAUCCGGAUUUACUGGGUGUAAAGGGCGUGUAGGCGGGCAUGUAAGUCAGGUGUGAAAGUCCACGGCUCAACUGUGGGAUUGCACUUGAAACUAUAUGUCUUGAGUGCCGGAGAGGAAAGCGGAAUUCCUAGUGUAGCGGUGAAAUGCGUAGAUAUUAGGAGGAACACCAGUGGCGAAGGCGGCUUUCUGGACGGUAACUGACGCUGAGGCGCGAAAGCGUGGGGAGCAAACAGGAUUAGAUACCCUGGUAGUCCACGCUGUAAACGAUGGAUACUAGGUGUGGGGGGUAUCGACCCCUCCCGUGCCGGAGUUAACACAAUAAGUAUCCCACCUGGGGAGUACGGCCGCAAGGUUAAA
rnacentral:rRNA from 1 species